UACGGGGGGGGCAAGCGUUGUUCGGAAUUACUGGGCGUAAAGGGUUCGUAGGUGGCCUGCUAAGUCAGACGUGAAAUCCCUCGGCUUAACCGGGGAACUGCAUCUGAUACUGGAUGGCUUGAGAUUGGGAGAGGGAUGCGGAAUUCCAGGUGUAGCGGUGAAAUGCGUAGAUAUCUGGAGGAACACCGGUGGCGAAGGCGGCAUCCUGGACCAACACUGACGCUGAGGAGCGAAAGCCAGGGGAGCAAACGGG
rnacentral:rRNA from 1 species